rnacentral:lncRNA from 1 species
UUUUUCGACUAAUCGAGUCAAUCUUAUUUUACUAUUUUAAUUAAAACCAAACUAUAUUACACAUAAAUACUGAUUUAUGGGUGGCAAGUAUCAAUAUUUCAUGAACAGUUUAGCUAUCAAAUCUUUCAAGAAAAUUCAAAUACAAACAUAUAGUACCUUUAAAGGGUCCUUGUCCAUAUUAGCAGAAACAAAGCUUUCAGUUAUUGCCGCCCUGUUGUCUUCUUUGAUAUGCAACAAAGAGUCACAUAGUGUGAAAAGAGAGAGAGAGAGAGAGAGAGUUCUGUGAAUGGAUGCCCCAUUGGCAUGUGAA